UACGGAGGGGGCUAGCGUUGUUCGGAAUUACUGGGCGUAAAGCGCGCGUAGGCGGAUCUGCAAGUCGGGGGUGAAAUCCCGAGGCUCAACCUCGGAACUGCCUUCGAUACUGCGGGUCUCGAGUCCGGGAGAGGUGAGUGGAAUUCCUAGUGUAGAGGUGAAAUGCGCAGAUAUCAGGAGGAACACCAAUGGCGAAGGCAGCUCGCUGGGACGUGACUGACGCUGAGACGCGAAAGCGUGGGGAGCAAACAGG
rnacentral:rRNA from 1 species